GUUCUCGUAGCUUAUAUAAAGCCUUACGUUGAAGCCGUAAAUAAGACAUUUCUGUCCAAGAACA
rnacentral:tRNA from 1 species